rnacentral:tRNA from 2 species
GGGCCGUUAGCUCAGCUGGCCAGAGCACUGCAUUUGCAAUGCAGGGGUCGGGAGUUCGACUCUCCCACGGUCCA